rnacentral:rRNA from 1 species
GACGAACGCUGGCGGCGUGCUUAACACAUGCAAGUCGAACGGAAAGGCCCUGCUUUUGUGGGGUGCUCGAGUGGCGAACGGGUGAGUAACACGUGAGUAACCUGCCCUUGACUUUGGGAUAACUUCAGGAAACUGGGGCUAAUACCGGAUAGGAGCUCCUGCUGCAUGGUGGGGGUUGGAAAGUUUCGGCGGGUGGGGAUGGACUCGCGGCUUAUCAGCUUGUUGGUGGGGUAGUUGCUUACCAAGGCUUUGGCGGGUCGCCGGCCUGAGAGGGUGAACGGCCACAUUGGGACUGAGAUACGGCCCAGACUCCUACGUGAGGCAGCAGUGGGGAAUAUUGCACAACGGGCGGAAGCCUGAUGAAGCAACGCCGCGUGCGGGAUGACGGCCUUCGGGUUGUAAACCGCUUUCGCCUGUGACGAAGCGUGAGUGACGGUAAUGGGUAAAGAAGCACCGGCUAACUACGUG